UUUAUUUAUUUAUUUAUUUUUGUGGUACGUGGGCCUCUCACCGUUGUGGCCUCUCCCGUUGCGGAGCACAGGCUCAGCGGCCACGGCUCACGGGCCCAGCCGCUCCGCAGCAUGUGGGAUCCUCCCGGGCCGGGGCACGAACCCGUGACCCCUGCAUCGGCAGGUGGACUCUCAACCACUGCGCCAUCAGGGAAGCCUGCUGUUUCCCCAGAUUUUAGAAGAGGUUAAUAGUCAUGCAGACUGCGUAAGUGUGAGGAGUUUGAAGUGAAACAAUGCAGGCAGAGCACUUCGUUCGAGAGUGCGGGCAUCAACUUUGGCUCAGCAGGUGGUGCCUGUGGUUAAUAAUGUGCUUACUAAGUCAUUGACAAGAGCUGCGGAACUUUUGCCAAGUGCUGUACAUUGGGCUGGGGCCCCAAAGCAGCCAGUGGGCCUCUUACCUUGUCCCUGGCGUUGGUCCUUUUUUAAAAAAUAACCCCAAACAAAGGGAGAUUUUUGAUAAAAGUGAAGCCUCCCGUUCUCCCAGGGGUGUAAGGAGGACAGUGUCCAGGAGGGGGCGCCAGAGCACCAGCCACAGCAGCGGUGUCUGUUUCCCUCCCUCCCUGCCCACCUGCUGUCACCAGCGGCUUCCCAGGGACCUCCUGUUCCUCCCUGGGAAUCAGGAAACGCCCUGGCUGGGACUCAGCCUGGAGACUCCUCUAGGCUCUGGGUAUUCACCACUGCUUUGUUUAGACAAAGGCUUCGUGGUGUCCCAGACCCUGGGAGGACACCUGACAUUCUUUAUCUAAUUUAAUCUUAAAAUGUUCCAGGGGAAGAAGGUAUCCUUGUCUCUGAUUCCAGACCAGGAAACGGAGGCACCGUGAGAUUAAGUCACAGCAGUGGGUGCAGCCAGGGUUCAAACCCAGGGGCAUCUCACCCCCAUGUCUUUGCCAGCUGCCCCUGAGAACCCUAGUCUUAGAAGGAUCUUACAGUCUUAGAGGCUUAUAAAGCCUAGACCCAUAGAAGUUUUUAUUCAAGUCAGAUAUAUACUUGUUUAAUGUUUUUUCCACUUAGGUAAUACCUGGUUGAAAAAACAAAAGGAAGAAUCAGUCCCCCUUCUCUGCAGGCUGGCCCCAGCCAUCCACUUUCCCUCCCUGGUGGUGACCACUGUUACAGUUUCUUGGGUCUCUUCCCAGAUGUUAGAAUUCGGUGGAUUUCUGGGUGACCUGGUCUCCUGGGCCUCAGCUGCUUUUAGCCCCCUGCCCUCAGGCUCCCACUGGUGUCUCUGUCACAGCCCAGGUGAUCUAAAGGGUCUUUCUUGGCUCUUGGAAUCCCCCCGACACCCGGCUUCAAGUCCACCCAUCCCUUUAGAAGGGGCAGUGGUACUUAGAAGAGUGUCCCCACGAGUACAAAGGAGGUUGGUCCUGCAUUCUCUCUCUGCCCCUCCUCCUCCAGGGGUCCUCAUCCCAGAAAGGCCCCCCUGUUCCUGGUGUGGACCCACUUUCUAUUUGCCCCCUGUGGAGGGAAGAGCGGAAGUGCCCAGAGUCACAUGGUAGGCAUUGGGCACCGAGGCUAGACCCCUGUCCCCAUGGGGUACCCUGCAAGAUGGGGGCUUAGGGUGGUGGGUCCACACAGGGCAGGCCUUGCCGUGUCCUUUCUCCACCUGGGAUCUGGGUUGGAAGGUUGGCCUUACUCAGCUGUUAUUUCCUCUUUCAGAAGCCCUCCUCCCCGGGGCCAGGUCAGGGACCCCUCUGAGCAUCCCUCUCCUCUGUCAGAGCUCUAGUCUCACUGGAUUGUGAUUUUCUUCUGUUUAUCUGUUUCCGCAUUAGAAGGUGUGCUCGGGGAGGACAGGGCCCUACCAAAUUUUGUGUUUCUUCCCAUUACUUAGCACAGAGCAGACACUCCAUAGAUGACUCAGUUAACCCAAUACUUUCCACCCAGACCCACAGUUCCGCCUGCUUCUGGGCCCACCGAAGACUACACAUCCCAGCCCCUUGAGUUUGCUCUGUGACGUGCUCUGGCCAAUGAAAUCGGAGCCAAAGUAGCAUGUCACUUCUGGGUGGAGACCUUUCAGAACUAGUGCAUGGUUCUUCCUGCUGCCCUCCCCCUGAGCAGUGAUGGGAAAUUCCAGGUGGGUUCCUCAGCGGGGACAGCAGGGAACAGAGAUCCCUGUUCCCACCCUUCUACUGGAUAUGUUGCACAAAUGAGAAAUAAACCUUUUUUUUUUUUUUUUUUGCGGUACGCGGGCCUCUCACUGUUGUGGCCUCUCCCGUUGCGGAGCACAGGCUCUGGACGCGCAGGCUCAGCAGCCAUGGUUCACGGGCCCAGCCGCUCCGCGGCAUGUGGGAUCUUCCCGGACCGGGGCACGAACCCGCGUCCCCUGCAUCGGCAGGCGGACUCUCAACCACUGCGCCACCAGGGAAGCCCUAUGACAGUAUUUUUUUAAAAAUUACUUUAUUGAGGUAUAGUUGAUUUACAAUGGUAUGUUAAUUUCUGCUGUACAGCAAAGUGAUUCAGUUAUACACACACGUACACACACACAUACAAUAUUCUUUUUCAUAUUCUUUUCCAUUAUCGUUUAUUACAGGAUAUUGAAUAUAGUUCCCUGUGUUAUACAGUAGGACCUUGUUUAUUUUUGCCCUUUAUACCUCCCUGGAGAGUUGUGAUAAUCAAAAGAGAUGUAUGUAACAGGGAAUAGAUUAUUAUCUUAUCACUCACCCUCACACCCUCUCAUGCUUUAUGCCUGGUGAUGUGUCUGAUCUCUCGUGGGUUAGUGCCUUCCCAUUGAAAGAAUAUGGCAUUCACUCAUUCAUGCAUUUGUGUUGUGGAGAUAUUAAUAGUACCUCCAAUAUAAGAUUGUGAUGAGGAUUAAAUACAUUAAUGUGUAUAAGGUUCCUAGAGUGGUUGGCACAUGGUGAAUACUCUAUAAAUGUUUCCAUUGUUAUUAUCAGUCUUUUCUAGUUCAUUCAAGAAAAUUUACUGAGCAUCCACUGUGUUUCCUGGGACUAGAGAGAACAAAGCUUGUUCCUUCCUACCUUGGGGGAGUAAGGCCCAGGAAAGAAUGUUGCUGCCAGUGUAAAGGUGCCGAGCCUGUCAGCAAGCACAGAGCGCUAGGGGAUCUUCCAAUAGGAAGGGACUCCGUGCAGGCCUGGUGUGUGGGUACUGGGGUGGCCUUGUGCUUUGAGAUGGAGCCACGGGGGCUGGCUGGGGCUGGGGGUGGCCGGCAGCGCUUACGGAAGCCCCCAGCCUGGGAGCCAGAGUGCUGCUCUGCCGGUUCUGUUCACGGUCCCAACACGUGCCUUGCCCCUCAGCGGCAGCAGGGCUGGGGUGGCUGGAGGGGAGGGAAGGAGGUUGGGAGCAGGCUGGGCUGUGUGAACACACAGAUGGUGGGUCAGGAAGGAAGGCCAGGGAACCAGCACUAAGGAGGGAGGCAGAGGGAGAGAGGAUGGAGGGGAAGGUGAGGGCUGCUGGGGGCGGGUGCCUUGGGGGCGGGUGGUGGAAGCCUAGGCCAAACCCCUAUGUUGCCUCCAUCUGAUCAUGAGCCCCUGUGCAUGGAGGGGAACUCUGACCAUUGGGGCCCAAGAGCACCUGGGCAGUAUCAGAUCACCACCCCUGUGUUACAGCUGGAGAGACUGAGGCCCAGAGAGGAUGUGUAACUUCCUCACAGACACACAGCCAGUUAGGGGCUUACCCAGAAUCAGAACCCAGACCUCUUGAUUCUUAGUCCAGUGCUCCUCACAUGAUACCACGCCGCCUUUUGGGGCCUCGGGGCCUCCUGUUUUAUUGGAAAACCCUAAUCUGAGGGGGGCCACGUUGCUGCCAUUGCUGAUGUGUGUAACCCUGCACUCCGUCCCGUUCUCCCUCCUCCGUCUUCUCCCCUCAGGGGAAAGGGCACAAGCAAGUGCAGAUUCCGUUCAGCUGUUCCACCCUCGGCCCAGGGCUGGUGCAGAGGAGCUGGGAGCAGCCUCCCUUACCCCACCGACCCACCUUCUUCUCAGAGGCAGGCUGGGCCUGGGGGGCAGGGACCUGUGGUGGGGCUUCUCCCUCAAGCUCUGUGGUGGGUGCCCUCUCAGAUGGCCUGGGUGACCCCACCUCCUGGUACGUGCACUCUUGUGUCAUCCUCCCCCCUUGAGUGUGGGCUGAUCUAGAGACUUGAGUCUAAAAAUGGAAUGAGUAAGUCCCCUACAUACUAACCUUCAAGUUGCGAUCUUUCAAAGAUGCGAACAUGCGUUUGCAUGUCCAAUCACGUUUAGUUCACGUGUCUGGCGUACGUUGUCACGUCCGUGCAUCCUCUACAAGAGGCUGUGCUUCUGUGUACUUUCCUGUAUAGUACCGUAUAGAGUACAGUAGUACAGUAUCUUUACUUCAAGCCCAGGAUGUCUGGAAGCAGGCGAAAAGCAGCAGUGAUGUAGCUGGCGCAGUACAGUACUACCCAGACAUCCCUGGAUCGAUUUUUCAAGAGGGUAGAUAGAAUUGAAUCCAGCAAGGAACCAGAACCUGUGCCAUCCACGUCAGGCGUGAGUGGAACUGCAGCUUGCCCUCUGUCUCCUAUUGCUGACAGUCCUUCAGCUCUACCAUCUCCCACUUCCCCUCCCUCCAACAGUCAGUCACUCUUCUUGCCUGUUCACUGGAUGCCAGCCCCUGUAUGCCAGCUGUUAUAAUGCACUACUGUACUUUUCAAGGGACUGUACUGUAAGAUUCAAAAUGUUUUCUUUAUUUUUUCUUUGUUUUCUCUGUAUUAUUUGUGUGAAAAUUACUAUAAACCUAUUACAGUACAGGACUAUAUAGCCGAUUGUGUUAGUUGUGUACCUAGGCUAACUUUGUUGGACUUAUAAACGUGCUGUCGGAAUGGAACUUGUUCGUAUGUAGCGGACUUACAGUAUGGAUAUCACUUCUGAGAUUUUGUUACUAAAGAUGGUGGCUUGUGUCGGGAGUGCCCCCCCAUUUCUCUCUCGCUUGCUGGCAGCCAGCUGCCAUGUCAUGAGCUGCCUGGUAGUGCCAACAGCCAGCCAGCACCUGAGGCCGACCAACAGCUGUGGGAGUGAGCUUGCAAGUGACCCCUCCCCAGAUGAGCCUUCAGAUGAGACCACAGCCCUGGCUGACACCCUGACUGCAACCUCAAUGGGAGACUCUGAGCCAGAGACCCCAGUUGAGCUCUGCCCAGAUUUCUGAUCCUAGAAACUAUAAUAAAUGUAUGUUGUUUUGCUCUA